UACGGAGGAUCCAAGCGUUAUCCGGAUUUAUUGGGUUUAAAGGGUGCGUAGGCGGAUUGAUAAGUUAGAGGUGAAAUGUCCGAGCUCAACUCGGGAACUGCCUCUAAUACUGUUGAUCUAGAGAGUAGAUGCGGUAGGCGGAAUGUAUGGUGUAGCGGUGAAAUGCUUAGAGAUCAUACAGAACACCGAUUGCGAAGGCAGCUUACCAAUCUAUAUCUGACGUUGAAGCACGAAAGCGUGGGGAGCAAACAGG
rnacentral:rRNA from 1 species